AAAAAAAGGUAAAUGACAACCUCAUUUGUCGUCCUUCCAAGUAUAUAAACUUCAGCUGCUAGCCCUAGCAGACUAAAGCAUACAAUAAAAUAUACAAAUGACCUCAGAAAAACAUCACACCAGUCAAAAAAAAUUGCUAUAAUCAAGGAAUGCACCAACCUAGUUCGCCCCAUUUCAGCCUACUUCCAAACAAAUCAUGUUGAAGUACAGCACAUCUUGCUCUUAGCUGGGAUUUCUUGCGCGGGUCCCGGGAUAAUGAUCUUCUUACCACCGGCUAGGGAUGCAGAGUUGCCAUUGCCUUGAUUUUCACCAGCAGCUAAGUUCUUUUUGUUCAUGAUACUGAAGAUCUCAGUUAGGACAGUCAUAAAGGCACUCUCCACGUUGGUUGAUUCCAGUGCCGAGGUUUCCAAGAAAAACAAACCUUCUUUCUCAGCAAAUUCCUUGGCAUCCUCAGUGGGGACUGCGCGCUGGUCUUCGAGAUCACUUUUGUUUCCUAUUAAGAUGAUAACAAUGUUCUUGUCAGCAUGGCUCCGCAACUCCUCAAGCCACCGGGGUAUGUGAUCAAAGGUCUGGCGUUUCGUAAUAUCGUAGACAAGCAUUGCCCCAAGAGCCCCUCUGUAAUAUGCACUUGUAACUGCUCUGUAUCUCUCCUGGCCCGCAGUAUCCCAGAUCUGAGCUUUA
rnacentral:misc_RNA from 1 species